rnacentral:rRNA from 1 species
CCUACGGGGGGCAGCAGUGGGGAAUUUUGGACAAUGGACGCAAGUCUGAUCCAGCAAUGCCGCGUGCAGGAUGAAGGCCUUCGGGUUGUAAACUGCUUUUGUACGGAGCGAAAAGGUCUACCCUAAUACGGUGGGCCCAUGACGGUACCGUAAGAAUAAGCACCGGCUAACUACGUGCCAGCAGCCGCGGUAAUACGUAGGGUGCAAGCGUUAAUCGGAAUUACUGGGCGUAAAGCGUGCGCAGGCGGUUAUAUAAGACAGAUGUGAAAUCCCCGGGCUCAACCUGGGACCUGCAUUUGUGACUGUAUAGCUAGAGUACGGUAGAGGGGGAUGGAAUUCCGCGUGUAGCAGUGAAAUGCGUAGAUAUGCGGAGGAACACCGAUGGCGAAGGCAAUCCCCUGGACCUGUACUGACGCUCAUGCACGAAAGCGUGGGGAGCAAACAGGAUUAGAUACCCCAGUAGUC